rnacentral:sRNA from 1 species
CCGGAAAAAAGGGAAAUCGAAAGAAGA